ensembl:lncRNA
GUGCAACCAGCCCUGAGAACCCUCAGAGGUGCUCUGGCCUCCUCCUCUCACUGUGAACUUUGCAAUGGCAAUAAGUACAGGCAGAUAUAUUGGAGAUUCUCUAUCCAAGACUUUUCCCCUGGGCAACACGGGGACGCCUUGAAAUAGCAAGAAAAGUCAAUGUUCCUCUGUUAUGCUCUUUGCUCCCCGACAUCUGAGAGAGAAGGAUUUCCAGUCACCAUGUUGUUCUUCAGUUCAUCCAUCUGCAGCCUGCUCCUUCUGCUUCACAUUGCAGACUUUGCUGGCCAGAGUCAACUUGUCAGAAGCAGGAAUGUUUAUGGUUUUUGGCUGCUAAGGCUGUGGAUGUCUUCAAGGACAGCUUACCUGGUCAUAUGCAGGCCGAGUGUGUAUCCCUGGGACUGGAAAGGGUCUGAAGUGUGUGCUCUGCAAGGUAAGAACCUCACCAACACAUCAUGUAUUUUUUACCUUGUGAAUUAGAUUUUGAUGGAGUAUGUAUGUAUGUAUGAAAUUUAUAUUUCAAUAAUUAUGUAGGUUUUUUCCAGGAGGUGAAUA